CUUCAUAGUUUUAAUCUUGCUUUAUUAGCAAAACAGUGUUGGCGUCUGAUCCAGAAUCCAGAAUCUUUGUGUGCUCGAGUUCUCAGUGCUAAAUACUAUCCAGAUGGAAACAUAUUGAAUGCAGGGUCGAAGAAGGGAUCCUCCUUUACGUGGCAGAGUAUCGUUGCUGGGAUUCAAACGUUCAAACGAGGAUGUAUUUGGAGAGUGGGUACGGGAUCACAUAUAAACAUUUGGCAAGAUCCUUGGGUUCCAACAAGUGAGUCCCGGAAAAUCAUAACACCACGGGGAUCCACUAUGUUGACAACAGUGGAAGAGUUAAUUGAUCCACAUACAGGUCAGUGGGAUGAGGUGUUGGUUCGCGAUGUCUUUUGGCCGAUCGAAGUGUACAGAAUCCUACAAAUCCCACUGAGAGUACAUAUCAUGGAUGACUUUGUUUCAUGGCAUUAUAACCGGAAUGGAAACUUC
rnacentral:rRNA from 1 species